UGGAACGUAUCUUAUCAUAAUCGUAAUCUUUUUUUAAUGAGAUAAGAACUCGUAACUCGAAUGACUCAAUCCUUUCCAGUUCCCAAACUUCACAUAAGUUGUCCAGUUUCUUUUUCAAGUUAGAACUUGUAUUCACAGUAUUCUGUAUCGCCAAACUUUUUAAACUUUUAACUAUUUUAAGAACGAACAGACAAAAAUAUUAAAAAAUAACAAAGAAAUAAAAAGCAUGGAGCUAAUAGUAAAAAAAAUAUAAAGUAAAAAUGCAAGGGUAAGAAGGGAGUCGUAUCUACUGUGUAAAAAUUCAUUAAUGAAUAAAUCAUAAUCGUCUUAAUCGAAAAGACGAAUGGGAAGGACAAAACCUAUAGUUCUUCGUGAUUUUUAUAUUCCAUCCGGGAUAAAUUCAAGGACGUAACGUGACGUUUGGAAAUUAAGCACCGUGUGUUCGAUUCUAUUAAUUCGCGUUGGAAGUCCAGACACGCUUCGAACGACCUUGAAAUUUGGAUGAUCAUCAAGAGACAAGCGUGGUUCGUGCAAUGUGCGACUAUAAUUAUCUCGUCGACAUGAACAAGGCGGCCUUCGUAUUCUAGUCAAGGCCUAAACACUUCGUGGAUAGUCCGCUCGUGGAUUGAACACUUUCGAUUUCGAUGACCCGAAGAGACGACGUUCCGUUCAAUUGUCAUGAAAGAUAUAUAG
rnacentral:misc_RNA from 1 species